rnacentral:rRNA from 1 species
AUUGAACGCUGGCGGCAUGCCUUACACAUGCAAGUCGAACGGCAGCACGGGAGCGAUCCUGGAGGCGAGUGGCGAACGGGUGAGUAAUGUAUCGGAACGUGCCCAGUCGUGGGGGAUAACGUAGCGAAAGCUACGCUAAUACCGCAUACGAUCUAUGGAUGAAAGCGGGGGAUCGCAAGACCUCGCGCGAUUGGAGCGGCCGAUAUCAGAUUAGGUAGUUGGUGGGGUAAAGGCUCACCAAGCCGACGAUCUGUAGCUGGUCUGAGAGGACGACCAGCCACACUGGGACUGAGACACGGCCCAGACUCCUACGGGAGGCAGCAGUGGGGAAUUUUGGACAAUGGGCGCAAGCCUGAUCCAGCAAUGCCGCGUGCAGGAUGAAGGCCUUCGGGUUGUAAACUGCUUUUGUACGGAACGAAACGGCGAGCUCUAAUACAGUUUGCUAAUGACGGUACCGUAAGAAUAAGCACCGGCUAACUACGUGCCAGCCGCCGCCGUAAGAC